rnacentral:rRNA from 1 species
GACAGAGGCCUCAAGCGUUAGGCGGAAUCACUGGGCUUAAAGCGUGUGUAGGCGGGUCGUUAAGUACCUUGUGAAAUCCCACGGCUCACCCGUGGAACUGCUGGGUAUACUGGCGAUCUUGGGCCAACUAGGGGCAACUGGAACAAACGGUGGAGCGGUGAAAUGCGUAGAUAUCGUUUGGAACGCCAAAGGGUGAAAACAGGUUGCUGGGGUU